rnacentral:rRNA from 1 species
GACGAACGCUGGCGGCGCGCUUAACACAUGCAAGUCGAGCGAAGCGGCGGACGGGUGAGUAACCCGUGAGUAACCUUCCUUAGACAUUGGGAUAGACUCGGGAAACCGGGAUUAAUACCACAUGGUCUAAGAUGUACUGGCGUCCCAUUAGCGAGUUGGUGAGGUACCGGCCCACCAAGGCGACGAUGGGUAGCCGUCCUUGUAGGCGGAACGGCGACAUUGGAACUGAGAAACGGUCCAAAAUCUACGAGAGGCAGCAGUGGGGAAUAUAGCACAAUGGAGGGAACGCUGAUGCAGCGAGGCCUCUUGAGCGAAGAAAGCGUUCAAGUCGUAAAGUUCUUUUAUAUGGGAAGCGGUACCAGAAGAAAAAGCCCCGGCUAACUACGUGCCAGCAGCCGCGGUAAUAC